rnacentral:lncRNA from 1 species
CGGCCCCCGCCCCCCCCCCCCCCGCCCCCUGCAGCCGGCCUCCUGGGCGCCGCGGUGGGGGCCUCCGGGGCGGGCGGGUGCCGGGCUGGGCUGCGGCGUCUGCUCCGGCCCGUCCUCCCUGCCACGUCGCUGUGGCCUCCCCCAAGGGCCUGCCGAGGCGACGGAGCCAAGGCCUUGGCCCCCCUCACCCCUCCCGGGCUUGCUCUGUAACAGGGCUCGGUCUGACCUGGCCGCUUCCCGGGCGGAGGNCCCCCCCCCCCCCCCCCGCCCCUGCGCCCAGGCCUGCGGGAGGGGCCCCGGUGCCUGUGAGGUGCCGAGGUCAGCACCCCGGGCUCGGAGCCCGUCUUGGCCUGGGCAGCCGGAGGGCGUCGUUGGUGUGUGCGGGCCUGGAGCCCCCCGGCUGGGAGCGGGGCAGCCGUCGCGGGUCAGGCCGGCCUUGCGCAUCCACCUCCCGGGUUCCUUCUGCCCAUCCAGGAGCAGCCUCGGUUAUCGCAGGAACCGGCGCACCUGGGUUCAGUCCCCGCCCCGAUGGCCCGGCUGUGCAGCUUUGGGCCGGUGGCUUCGCCUUGCGGGGACCGGUUUCCUCAUCUGCAGAAUGGGUAUCCCAUAGCCCCCGUCUGGUCACAUCACACAGAUCAAGAGGUAACGUGUGCGAUGCUGCAGGGCCAGCCCCGGCCCUCAGAAACCUGGCGCUGAUGAUCUGGAAGGAUGAACCCCCGGAUUGUGCUGCUCGGGCCAGAGGAGGUUUAGAGUUGCAAAUCCAUGAUAAGUUGGGCCUUUUUGGAGAAGGUUCUCCUACUGCUAAGUCAACAUGCCCAGGUCUGGGUCUUCAGACACUGCCAGCGUGGAAUCCCGCAGUUUGGUUUGAAGAGAAACUAACUUCUGGUUCUAAACCGGUCACAACGAGGGACCUCUGUAAGCGGCCAGCCAGGGCCAGCGCUUCGUUUCCACCAAUGAUGCCAAAACCGCUUUACACACCAGCAGACUUACAAGGCAGACAGCACAUCUUCAUGUGGUCUGCACAAACUCUCGAGCAGAGGGGGAAAGACACGUUCACAGUCAGUCCCGAUGUCACUGUAACACUCUUAAAAGAGUUUUAUUUAUUCCUGAGACACACAGAGAGAGGCAGGCCUCCUGCGGGAACCCGAUGCGGGACUCGAUCCCAGGACCCCGGGAUCAUGACCUGA